UUCCCUGGUGUGAAUAAAGGAACAUGAGC
rnacentral:piRNA from 1 species